rnacentral:rRNA from 1 species
GACGAACGCUGGCGGCGUGCCUAACACAUGCAAGUCGAGCGGGGACAGAGGAGUAGCAAUACGAAUUUGUUCUAGCGGCGGACGGGUGAGUAACGCGUGAGCAACCUGUCCCAAACAGGGGGAUAACGAACCGAAAGGUUCACUAAUACCGCAUAAGACCACGGAGUCACAUGGCUCAGGGGUCAAAGGAGAAAUCCGGUUUGGGGUGGGCUCGCGUCUGAUUAGCUAGUUGGUGGGGUAACGCCCACCAAGGCGACGAUCAGUAGCCGACCUGAGAGGGUGAUCGGCCACAUUGGAACUGAGACACGGUCCAAACUCCUACGGGAGGCAGCAGUGGGGAAUAUUGGGCAAUGGGCGAAAGCCUGACCCAGCAACGCCGCGUGAAGGAAGAAGGUCUUCGGAUCAUAAACUUCUAUCCUUGGUGAAGAUAAUGACGGUAGCCGAGAAGGAAGCCCCGGCUAACUACGUGCCCAGCAGGCCGCGGUAAUCUGUAGUCGU